UACGUAGGGUGCAAGCGUUAUCCGGAUUUACUGGGUGUAAAGGGCGAGUAGACGGCUUUGCAAGUCAGAUGUGAAAACUCAGGGCUCAACCUUGAGACUGCAUCUGAAACUGUGAAGCUAGAGUGCAGGAGAGGAAAGUGGAAUUUCUAGUGUAGCGGUGAAAUGCGUAGAUAUUAGGAGGAACACCAGUGGCGAAGGCGACUUUCUGGACUGUAACUGACGUUGAGGCGCGAAAGUGUGGGGAGCAAACAGG
rnacentral:rRNA from 1 species